UUUAAAAAAACUUCAGCUGGAUAAUAAUGUUAUUGAGAGGAUUGAAGGAUUAGAAAACCUCACUAAUUUGGUCUGGCUUGAUCUGUCAUUUAAUAAUAUUGAAGUGAUUGAAGGACUGGACUCUCUUGUGAAACUUCAGGACCUGAGUUUAUUCAACAACCGCAUUUCUGUCAUUGAAAACCUGGACGCGCUGCAAGACCUGCACGUCCUCUCUUUUGGAAACAAUGCAAUUGCUCAACUUGAAAAUGUGUUAUACCUAAGAAAGUUUAAGAAUUUACGCACUCUCAAUCUUGCGGGAAACCCCAUCUGUGAGGAAGAGAGGUACAAGACAUUUGUGACAGCGUAUCUUCCAGACUUAGUUUAUCUGGACUACAGACUGCUGGAUGAA